GAUGAACGCUGGCGGCGUGCCUAAUACAUGCAAGUCGAGCGAAUGGAUUAAGAGCUUGCUCUUAUGAAGUUAGCGGCGGACGGGUGGGUAACACGUGGGUAACCUGCCCAUAAGACUGGGAUAACUCCGGGAAACCGGGGCUAAUACCGGAUAACAUUUUGAACCGCAUGGUUCGAAAUUGAAAGGCGGCUUCGGCUGUCACUUAUGGAUGGACCCGCGUCGCAUUAGCUAGUUGGUGAGGUAACGGCUCACCAAGGCAACGAUGCGUAGCCGACCUGAGAGGGUGAUCGGCCACACUGGGGCUGGGGCACGGCCCAGACUCCUACGGGAGGCAGCAGUAGGGAAUCUUCCGCAAUGGACGAAAGUCUGACGGAGCAACGCCGCGUGAGUGAUGAAGGCUUUCGGGUCGUAAAACUCUGUUGUUAGGGAAGGACAAAUGCUAGUUGAAUAAGCUGGCACCUUGACGGUACCUAACCAGAAAGCCACGGCUAACUACGUGCCAGCCGCCGCAGUAA
rnacentral:rRNA from 1 species